UGCCCAGCAACUCCUAUCCCUACCUCCUCGUGGUACUGGCCGGGGUACGAGUAACCUUGGGGAAGAUCGGGUAACCAACCCCCGGUGGGAACUUUGGUCGUAUGCUGACAGAGAAAG
rnacentral:ribozyme from 1 species